GGACUUGCGGAGCAGCGACUUCAGAGAGUUCAUGAAUGGAAGUCACAGACAGACCAGCGACUGCAGCCACCUCCAGGCAUUUCUUAAAGGGGAGGGUUGUGUGCUUUUUCCAGGGUAUUCUGGUAGCAGUUUGAUUCUCUUGCUUUUAUUUUAAUUUCCAUAAUUGGUAGCUUCAGAAAUGGCUUUGGAAGGCAAUUUGCUUUAAAUGUAGCCACCUAUUCCAAAAUGCCCUGGUUAUUUUAGGAACCCUACCCUUUUCCUCCGGAGCUCUCUCGCAGGAGUUCUUCUUUUGGACUGGUCCAGGAGGAGAAGCGCUACAAAGCAGCCACUGUGCUUACUGAACGGCCUCCCCCUGUAUCGCUUGAUUGAGAAGGUAUACAAAUGCUCUCAGUCCAGCCAGACACCAAGCCGAAAGGUUGUGCUGGCUGCAACCGAAAGAUCAAGGACCGGUAUCUUCUAAAGGCACUGGACAAAUACUGGCAUGAAGACUGCCUGAAGUGUGCCUGCUGUGACUGUCGCUUGGGAGAGGUGGGCUCCACCCUGUACACUAAAGCUAAUCUUAUCCUUUGUCGCAGAGACUAUCUGAGGUAGGAAUUAUCCUUGCACACCAGUGAUGACUGGAUGCCUUUUAAAGUACUUUUGUAAGUGUAUUUUUUGUUUGCUUGUUUGAUUUCCUUACUGCCAGCUUAUAUUCCUGAAAGAAGUUGACCUGUCAGCCUUCAAAGUGUUGCCCUGUGUGUGUUACUCAAAUUAAUGCUUAAGGAAUAGCCAGCAAACCACAAUAUUUAAAGUAUUUCAAUUGGGCUUGCCUGCACACUCAGGCAAUUGGUUAUGGCGCUGCCUAUAUUGAAACUGCCAGUUAAUGUCAAGGAUGUAUUUGGUCGAAAUCAGCAUUCAGGUUGAUUUACUUAUUUUUGCUUUUUUUUUUUUUUUUUUUUUUUUGGAGCUUAAGGGGGAAUGGGGGUUGAGCAUAACACAAAGAAAUUAAUCAGCCAUUUGGCAAAGUAUCUUAACUAUUUUUCAAAAGUUCAACUUGAAAAAAAAUGGACUGUGUAAAACAGUUUAAUUGUUGCCUCUAAGUUGGACCUGAAUUUAGUCUUCUAAAGUUAUUCAGCUGUCUUCUCUGUUUCAAGUGUGUCAGAGGAAGUCAGGUGCAAAUCCUUGGUUAAUAUCUAUUAGUGCAUUUAUUGUAGAGUUUUGAAAACUUUCCCCAAGUGUAGAUACAUCUUCCUCCUGCCCCACCUCAUGACAUUCUAAACGGGAAUCUCAAAAAUACAACUAAGCAAUUGAACCGCCUCAGACUUGCCAGUAGUUUUAUGGAUAAUAACAAAGUAAAGACCUCCAUCAUUAUAGGAAAAUGACAGCCACCCUCCAACCUGUAAACAUCUGAAUGCUUUCAGGACAAGGCAGGUGUUCUUGGUUAUGGAGCUAUGAAGCCUACUAAAGCUUGUUUUCCAGCAUUAAGUACUCAACACAGAAUUUCUGCUGAAGGAAAAUUAUUUUGCUUUUCAGGCAACUUUGUGACUUACUUCAGCUGCAAAUUACUUAUAUUAAUAAAGUAGGAUCUAUCAAAUUAGAGAAAUGAUAUAUGGCAUCAUUGGGAUUUUCAUAUUUAAUACAAUUAAUCAUUUUCUGGUCUGACAUUAAGCGAUUUAUUUGGAAUUUUUUCCCUUAUGACAAAAUUUAUCAAUCAACGGUAACUCCUUUAGUACCUUGGUCAUUUGGUGAGGUGUUUUCUAGGGAAUUUGGUCGUUCUUAGUAUAUAAUUCAGCUAUUUUCAGUCAGAUCCAAUCUUUAGAUAUAAAAAUAUAUCAUUUGAUUAGUGGUAGUUACAAGAGGGUGAAAGCAGUACUGUUUAUCAGAUUCUACUCCUUCUCGCUCUUAGGACGGCCUCAUCUGACAGCCUCCUGACUAAUUAUGGCCACUUGUUACUACUUCUCUGUGUUCCAAGUGCGUAAAACACAUGCAAGGUGCCAACAAUGAGAAGUCACUCUCUCCAGCCAGGAUUUCCCUCAUUGUGUUGGCACAACUAAUCAAAAUUAAUGUAUAAUGUUCAUUCUUUUAGAACUCUCUGGUCUUUGAACUUUCCUCUUUGAAAUAAAAAUUUCUCUUCUGCCCAUUGUGAAUUAGAGCCUCAUUUCCACAUAAAGCAUUUGUAUUUGCUUUUAGUGAUUUAAUACUGCUUUUUAGUUUUGCUUUAUCUGUACUAACCAAUAGUCAUAGCUUUUUGACUCCUUUUGACUUUUACAUUUGUUUGUAAUUUCAGUAUCUCAAGUAGAUUUAUGUUACCAUUUCAAAUAAGGAGUUUAUAUAGCCCGGGCAAUGUUAAGGUGUUUUAAUAAACCAAAGGACAAAAAUUAAGUAAACUUGAAAGAAUGUCAACUGAAAUAUCUGGGGGUUUUGAAAACAAAAAUAAAAAUUUGCCAAGGAAAUAUCUAUAUUGUGAGUAUAACAUGCUUCUUAGCUGUCAACAUAGCAUCGAGCAAAGACAGUAAUCUUAGAUUUGUUUUGUUUUCUUUUUCCUUGUGGUAGUAAAAAUAUAUUUGAUAGUCUCAAGUGUUUAGCUAAAACGCAUUUAUCAAAAAUACUUUUCGUAUCAGAAGUUUUUGUAUCUCUAUAAGAGUGUAUGUGGCUUUUUGUAGAAUAACUUUCAGUUACCUCCUGAUAGGCUCAAACUUUUAAUGGUGGUUAACUUAUUAAAAGUAUAUAAUAUUCUUUCAAAUAUAAACCCUGGUCCUGAUUGCCAAUAUAUUCAUUUCUCAGAGUACGAUUUCCUCUUAAAUUGGUCAUUACCACAUUAAUGGCCAGUUGUUAUGUUAACAGCCUAACGGUUGUUAACAUUUCAAACUAAGUUGUUAACAGCAAUCUUGUCCCUUAUUUAAACUGAAAGUUUGUUGUAUAUAAUGUGACUUAUUUGGCAACUUCAUCAACACUUAAAAUUGCAGAAGUGAAGUGGAGAAUUGGUGUGUGUAAAACACUGUGUUACGUGUUAUAGAUUAUGCCGCAGAUGUGGUAUUUAGUUUUAUGUGGAAAGCAUGUGUCUCAGUGAAAUUGUGUAGAUGUUCAACAGCAUAUGUCUCUGAUUGGCAAAUUAAAAUAGUCUGAUUCUGUAUGGUAAAUCAACAAAUAUAGUCAAGCAGAUUUUAUUUACAAAUUAAUUUCUUUGAUUAGAUACAAAUAGUUGUUCAAAAAUGUUUAUUAAAUGCUUACUGUGUGAGAGGUAUGAUUUCAGGCAAUGGGUGAAAUUAGCUAAAGGAAAAAGGAAGGUACACCUAAAGUUGCCACUAUCUAAUUGUUUAUUUAAUUACAUAGAAUCUGUAAUAUAAUCAGUGAACAAGUAAUAUUCUGUGGUUAUUUUCCUGAGCUUUAAAAGUAAUUUUUCUCAUUUUCCUCCAAAUUCAGCAUACUUUCAUUUUGUAUUUUAUAUAACCAAUGUUUAAUCACUUAAGUUCUAUUUUAAAAGUUGUUUUAUUUUUGGCCCUUGGAUAUUAUGUAACUUCUCUGAGGCACCAAACUGAACAUAAAUAACUUACAUAUUUAUAUUUCAUGUCUAAAUUAUUAAGAACGUAAGUAAGAAUAAGGAAAGUAAUAAAAUAGUAAUUUGCCUGUCCACAUAUA
rnacentral:sRNA from 1 species